rnacentral:rRNA from 1 species
GAGGAAGGAGGGGACGACGUCAAGUCAUCAUGGCCCUUACGUCCGGGGCUACACACGUGCUACAAUGGAUGGUACAGAGGGCAGCUACAUAGCAAUAGCAAGCGAAUCUCAAAAAGCCAUUCACAGUUCGGAUAGGGGUCUGCAACUCGACCUCAUGAAGUUGGAUUCGCUAG